UGGACAGAUUAUUGUAUUCGACUGUAUUCACGGCGUCAAACAAGGGAUUACAUUGUUUUUAAACGAAAAAUGAAUCAAUCAACAUAAUAGACUCCU
rfam:Nicotiana sylvestris Nsyl_contig101902, whole genome shotgun sequence.